UUAACAAUACAAUAUUAGCAAAAAUUGCUUUUUUCACUUAUUAGAUACGUUCAUGCUUGCUAAAUGAGUUGACAUCGGGACUUGCAUCCAUCUUCUAUGUGGGAAGGCCAAAGACCCAUUCACGAUAUGCCACAGAGAAAUCCGAAGGGUUUGCCAUUCAAUACCACUGAGUAAUGAGGGCUUAUCGUGUUGCUGCUGAUUUAUGUAAAUUCGUAGACAGAACCGUCUAUUUUCAUACCAUUGCCGCUAUCAGAGAUGUGGUUUUUGAAAUUUCAAAUUAGUGGUUUAUGAUAUUGCUUUGUGUGCCUGUUUGGUGACUAAAUACUAAUUGGUCAUGUAUGCAGAGUUGUCUUCAGCCCCUAUUAGUGUGCCUCUUAUAUGUAUAUAUGUGGCAUAAUAGGGUUUGAGAAAAGGCCUCUGAUGUACUGGACAGUGUUCUUCGUGGGCAACUUGGUUGGCAUGAUAAAAAGAAACAUAGUAUAUCCUGGCAGGCAAGUGGCCGGCUUCUUCAAGAAACUUCAUGGUAAUUAAUGCUUAUUAAAAGAAAAUGACACGCGAUUCUUUGUUAACAAAGCAUUAGUUGGUGCCAAAUUUUACCACACGAGACUUUUAGCUCUUUUCCGCGAAACACAAUCUAGUUAAGGUAUUUGGUCAUGGAAAGAAUUCAGUUUUGGUUAGCAAGCUUCUGUUUGAUGUCUACCAUCAAUAUAUAAUUGCUUUUCAUUAGAUGUUUUUCAACUGAAACGUGUUAGUGUUUCAGUGGAAGGCCCUUGUUUUCUGUCUAUUUUGUAGUGAGUUUAAUUGCUAUUGUUAUUAAAUUAAGUGAUUGUUGCGAUUAUACAAGGAGAUAAAUUUGUUGGCUUUGAACCUAUACUUUAACGCUAUUUUAGUAUUUCCUGUAUUGACUUA